rnacentral:rRNA from 1 species
UACGUAGGGUGCGAGCGUUAAUCGGAAUUACUGGGCGUAAAGCGCACGUAGGCGGCUUUGUAAGUUAGAGGUGAAAGCCCAGGGCUUAACCCUGGAAUUGCCUUUAAGACUGCAUCGCUAGAAUCGUGGAGAGGUGAGUGGAAUUCCGAGUGUAGAGGUGAAAUUCGUAGAUAUUCGGAAGAACACCAGUGGCGAAGGCGACUCACUGGACACGUAUUGACGCUGAGGUGGCGAAAGCGUGGGGAGCAAACAGG